AAAAAGUCAGGUCGGAUUAAGCCAUAGUACGGAAAAAACUGUGCUACCUGUGAGCCCCGUCCAAGGACGUUAAAAGAAGUCAGGCCAUUACAAAUGCCACGGCUUGAGUAAACCGUGCAGCCUGUAGCUCCACCUGAGGAGGUGUAAAAAACCUGGGAGGCCACAAACCAUGGAAGCUGUACGCAUGGCGUAGUGGACUAGCGGUUAGAGGAGACCCCUCCCUUACAAAUCGCAGCAACAACGGGGG
rnacentral:lncRNA from 1 species